GACGAACGCUGGCGGCGUGGAUUAGGCAUGCAAGUCGGACGGUAGGGCUUUAUCGUAAGAUAGAGUUUGAGAGUGGCGAACGGGUGAGUAACACGUAGGAAUCUACCCUUAAGACGGGGACAACCCAGGGAAACUUGGGCUAAUACCGGAUGAGAGUGCGAGAGAUUGCAUUUAAAAGGAUGGCGAAAGUUGUCGCUUAGGGAUGAGCCUGCGGUCUAUUAGUUAGUUGGUGAGGUAAGAGCUCACCAAGGCGAUGAUAGAUAGGCGGCCUUAACGGGUGGUCGCCCACACUGGGAUUGAGAUACGGCCCAGACUCCUACGGGAGGCAGCAGUCGAGAAUAGUCUACAAUGGUCGGAAGACUGAUAGUGCGACGCCGCGUGAACGAUGAAUCCCUUCGGGGUGUAAAGUUCUUUUAUAUGUGAGCAGUGCUUCUUAUAUUAACAGUAUGGGGAGAGAGAUAUUAGCAUAUGAAUAAGCAACGGCUAACUCCGUGCC
rnacentral:rRNA from 1 species